rnacentral:rRNA from 1 species
UACGUAGGGCGCAAGCGUUGUCCGGAAUUAUUGGGCGUAAAGAGCUCGUAGGCGGUUUGUCGCGUCUGCUGUGAAAACUCGAGGCUCAACCUCGGGCUUGCAGUGGGUACGGGCAGACUAGAGUGCGGUAGGGGAGACUGGAAUUCCUGGUGUAGCGGUGAAAUGCGCAGAUAUCAGGAGGAACACCCGGUGGGCCGAAGGCGGCGACCUGGGCCGAAUACUGACGC